rnacentral:rRNA from 1 species
UACGUAGGGGGCUAGCGUUGUCCGGAAUCAUUGGGCGUAAAGCGCGCGUAGGCGGCCCGGUAAGUCCGCUGUAAAAGUCAAAGGCUCAACCUUUGAAUGUCAGUGGAUACUGCCGGGCUAGAGUCCGGAAGAGGCGAGUGGAACUCCUGGUGUAGCGGUGGAAUGCGCAGAUAUCAGGAAGAACACCGACGGCGAAGGCAGCUCGCUGGGACGGUGCUGACGCUGAGGCGCGAAAGCUAGGGGGAGCAAACGGG